rnacentral:rRNA from 1 species
AUUGAACGCUGGCGGCAGGCCUAACACAUGCAAGUCGAGCGGAUGAAGAGAGCUUGCUCUCUGAUUCAGCGGCGGACGGGUGAGUAAUGCCUAGGAAUCUGCCUGGUAGUGGGGGACAACGUUUCGAAAGGAACGCUAAUACCGCAUACGUCCUACGGGAGAAAGUGGGGGGUCUUCGGACCUCACGCUAUCAGAUGAGCCUAGGUACGAUUAGCUAGUUGGUGAGGUAAAGGCUCACCAAGGCGACGAUCGUUAACUGGUCUGAGAGGAUGAUCAGUCACACGGGAACGGAGACACGGUCCAGACUCCUACGGGAGGCAGCAGUGGGGAAUAUUGGACAAUGGGCGAAAGCCUGAUCCAGCCAUGCCGCGUGUGUGAAGAAGGUCUUCGGAUUGUAAAGCACUUUAAGUUGGGAGGAAGGGCAGUAAGUUAAUACCUUGCUGUUUUGACGUUACCGACAGAAUAAGCACCGGCUAACUUCGUGCCAGCCGCCGCCGUAAGAC